GGCCCCAUCGUCUAGCCUGGUCUAGGACAUCGCCCUCUCAAGGCGAAGGCACCGGUUCAAAUCCGGCUGGGGCUA
rnacentral:tRNA from 1 species